UUCUGCCUCUUGCUCACUCACAAACAGGAGGCUCGGUCUCAGCAUGCACCGCAGCUCUCUCGUCCUCACUGCCUUCCUGGGACAACUGCUGGGUGCCGUGGGGCAGACCAUUGUCAGCCAGCAAGAAGGACAGGUCACGGUGCAGGAGAGAAACACCUUCCAGACCACCUGCACGUACCAGGCCUCCAGCUUUGAUGCUUUUCUUUGGUACCAGCAGAAGAAAGGCCAAGCUCCCCAGCUGGUCACAUAUCAGGCAGCAGCAGGCUCCAAGCAGAACGGCCGUUUCACCACGUGGCUGAACACCACCGGGAAAUACAGCCUGCUGCGGCUGGCAGAAGUCGAGCUGUCUGACAGCGCCUUGUACCUCUGUGCUGUGCAGGACACCCUGGUGCAGGGAGCUUCCUUGGCCGUGCAACAACCCCAGGGAGGGAGGAGUGGCUGUGAGCAGAGCCCAGGUGCAACAGGAGCCGGCGGCAGAGACCAGAGAGGGCAUCAGCAUCAACAUCACCUGCUCACACCCCAGCAUACAGUCCAGCGAGAUCAUUUACUGGUACCGUCAGCUCCCGGGCCGAGGACCCGCAUUCCUCGUGAACGCUUUUAAAGGCUCCAAGGAGGUGCCGGACCCGGAGGGGCAGCUGUGGGUGUCGGCAGACCGCCGCUCCAGCGCCCUGCGUCUCGCCCGGCCCCGGCUCGGGGACGCGGCGCUGUAUUACUG